UACGUAGGGCGCGAGCGUUGUCCGGAAUUAUUGGGCGUAAAGAGCUCGUAGGCGGCUUGUCACGUCGGGUGUGAAAGCCCACAGCUUAACUGUGGGUCUGCAUUCGAUACGGGCAGACUAGAGGCAGGUAGGGGAGAACGGAAUUCCCGGUGUAGCGGUGAAAUGCGCAGAUAUCGGGAGGAACACCGGUGGCGAAGGCGGUUCUCUGGGCCUGUACUGACGCUGAGGAGCGAAAGCGUGGGGAGCGAACAGG
rnacentral:rRNA from 1 species